rnacentral:rRNA from 1 species
UGGGGGAUAUUGCACAAUGGGGGAAACCCUGAUGCAGCGACGCCGCGUGGGUGAAGGAGCACUUCGGUGCGUAAAGCCCUAUCGGCAGGGAAGAAAAGGGGGAAACCCCAGACGGUACCCUGACUAAGAAGCCCCGGCUAACUACGUGCC